CUUGUUAAAAUGCAGGUGUCUGAUUCUGUGGGUCUUGGAUGAGGCCCAAGAGUCUGCAUUUCUAACAAGUUC
rnacentral:pre_miRNA from 14 species